rnacentral:lncRNA from 1 species
UAUGUGACAUUUUAGUCUUAUAAUUUUAAUUUGUUAAAUAUAUAGCUCGAAUUUUAAAAAUUAUUAUAAUCAAGUCCUAUAACUCAAUUUAAUUAAUUAAAUUUAAUGCGUCAUUGGAAGAGUUAUACGACAUCUUAAUUAUUGGCGCAUCAUCGGACACAAUACUACUGUAUAACCUUUAUAUUAGCAAAAUAUCAAUAUUUAGUCAAUUAAAUUUGAUUAUGAGAUUUAAUUACUAUAAUUAUAAUAAUUUGAGCCAAAAAUUAUAAUAAAUUAAAGUUUGAGGAUUGGUGUGUCAGUAAUUCUAUGGUUCGAGGACCAAAUGUGCAAUUUAUCAUGCAGAUAAAGGGACUUAUGAUUUUGGAUUUGAAGGGGGUAUUAGUGAUUGUUUUAUAUGCACACAAGGGUUUUUCUCAUAGUUUUAGAACAUUGGUGAUAUUUUAGAUUUUGGAGAAGUAUUUUAAUUAGUAGAACAUUGGUGAUAUUUUAGAUUUUGGAGAAGUAUUUAUAAUAGUUUGAAGUUCUAUAGUAGUUAUAAAA